AACGAACGCUGGCGGCAGGCUUAACACAUGCAAGUCGAACGCCCCGCAAGGGGAGUGGCAGACGGGUGAGUAACGCGUGGAAACAUACCCUUUCCUGCGGAAUAGCUCUGGGAAACUGGAAUUAAUACCGCAUACGCCCUACGGGGGAAAGAUUUAUAGGGGAAGGCUUGGCCCGCGUUGGAUUAGCUAGUUGGUGGGGUAAAGGCCUACCAAGGCGACGAUCCAUAGCUGGUCUGAGAGGAUGAUCAGCCACAUUGGGACUGAGACACGGCCCAAACUCCUACGGGAGGCAGCAGUGGGGAAUAUUGGACAAUGGGCGCAAGCCUGAUCCAGCCAUGCCGCGUGAGUGAUGAAGGCCUUAGGGUUGUAAAGCUCUUUCACCGAUGAAGAUAAUGACGGUAGUCGGAGAAGAAGCCCCGGCUAACUUCGUGCCAGCCGCCGCAGUAAUAC
rnacentral:rRNA from 1 species